GAGAUUCCGUUACACUAUAAGCAUGUGACGAAUGUCAAUGUUUUGAUUUAAACUUUAAAGAUACCUUAGUCUGAUUGGUAAAAUAUAAUUAAAUUAAUUUAAAAAUAUAUAUUAUUUAUUAUGACGGCUUGAGACGAAACGAAAGGAGGACACGUCACGUAAAGGUAGCGCUCUAUCGUUUUAAGGUCUCGGUGUUCGCGGUUCGCCCUUUGUUGGGUCAGUCAAAAGUUCGACACGACAUCGUCGACAACGCCGUCACCCGUGCAUGUAUAAUAAUAGUUACAUGCAUCAGUAAAACAGUGUUUCAUUUUUCGUUAGAUAUUAUUUUUGAUUUUCAUUCAUUUUUAUUGUCACGUUAUGUACGAGUUUUAAUUAAAAUAGCCAUGUACUGUUAAACUGUAGUUUGUUAUUUACCUAUUUUAAUUUAAUUACAAUUUUUUUUUUUGGUAAUUUCUUCCAACGCCUCAAUGUUUGGCCAUCAUUUUAGAAAUUGCGUCCGAAUCGCCAACAAUGGAAGAUGAUAAAGGAGAAGGCCAUAGACGGUUGUUCUUCCAUCGGGACCAUCGAUAGCGAAGUGUUUACGAUUGGGAGGACAUUUUAAGAGACACUCGAGAUGAUGGACUAUGACGGAAGCGAAUAUUCUAUACUGUUCGGUAUCCGUCAGGUACCGUGUGAUGAAUAACUCGAGCAAAAGUUUCUUCAGAUGGAUUAUUUCAGAAAUAUUCUGCUGCUGGAAACAACAGAACGAACUUCCCGAAAACUUGGCCGUGAGCUACACGGAGAUAACGCACUCAAAUACGGCAGACGCGGUGGAACUGCAGCUGCGGAACUACGUGAACUCGCAAGAGCCGUACAAUCCGGAAGUGCACGGCUGGAGAGACAUCACGCCACCCGUUAUGCGAUCCGUCAAGCACAGCGAGCGAGCUACACAGCUGGUGACAGCCAUCCGUAUGUCAGGGCUACAGGACAUCGAAAUACUAGGCGUGCCCGAUGGACACAGCUAACGACGGCGUUUGCCGACACCGUCCCGUACGUCCAGACGCCGUCGUGAAUCUUGUACAUACAACACCGCCGUACCACGAAGUGUACAACAAUACCUACACGUCUCCAUUAUUGCGGCCAAAACGUCAAAACCCCUGUGGUUCUGUUACCAAUCCGUCACAAUAGCUGAUAUUAUAAUAUCUAUUAGAUCAUAUAUAGGUACCUACUAUUGUAUAUACCAUUGACCAUUGUAUAUCUAAGUAUAAUAUAGUAAUAAUUAAACCUAGGUAUCUAUAAAUGUUGCCUACAUUGAUUUGCACAAAUAAUAUAGAGCCAUAGAGGAAAAAUACCACCCCCAUAUUAUCUUGUUUUUUAUCUACACACUUCGGGGCGAAAACUUUCGAGCUGUUUUCGACAUUUUGCACCA